GAGCGGCGAACGGGUGAGUAACACGUGAGUAACCUGCCCCAGGCUUUGGGAUAACCCUCGGAAACGGGGGCUAAUACCGGAUAUUCAUGCGGUGUGGCAUCACAUUGUGUGGAAAGUUUUUCGGCUUGGGAUGGGCUCGCGGCCUAUCAGCUUGUUGGUGGGGUGAUGGCCUACCAAGGCGACGACGGGUAGCCGGCCUGAGAGGGCGACCGGCCACACUGGGACUGAGACACGGCCCAGACUCCUACGGGAGGCAGCAGUGGGGAAUAUUGCACAAUGGGCGGAAGCCUGAUGCAGCGACGCCGCGUGAGGGAUGAAGGCCUUCGGGUUGUAAACCUCUUUCGACAGGGACGAAGCGCAAGUGACGGUACCUGGAGAAGAAGCGCCGGCCAACUACGUGCCAGCAGCCGCGGUAAGACGUAGGGCGCGAGCGUUGUCCGGAUUUAUUGGGCGUAAAGAGCUCGUAGGCGGCUUGUUGCGUCAGCUGUGAAAACCCGCAGCUCAACUGUGGGCUUGCAGCUGAUACGGGCAGGCUUGAGUUCGGUAGGGGAGACUGGAAUUCCU
rnacentral:rRNA from 2 species